rnacentral:rRNA from 1 species
GAACGAACGCUGGCGGCAGGCCUAACACAUGCAAGUCGAGCGGAUGAGAGGAGCUUGCUCCUCGAUUCAGCGGCGGACGGGUGAGUAAUGCCUAGGAAUCUGCCUAGUAGUGGGGGACAACGUUUCGAAAGGAACGCUAAUACCGCAUACGUCCUACGGGAGAAAGUGGGGGAUCUUCGGACCUCACGCUAUUAGAUGAGCCUAGGUCGGAUUAGCUAGUUGGUAGGGUAAAGGCCUACCAAGGCGACGAUCCGUAACUGGUCUGAGAGGAU